rnacentral:rRNA from 1 species
AUUGAACGCUGGCGGCAUGCUUUACACAUGCAAGUCGAACGGAGUUAAGGAGCUUGCUUCUUAACUUAGUGGCGAACGGGUGAGUAACGCGUGAGGAACCUGCCUUUCAGUGGGGGACAACAGUUGGAAACGACUGCUAAUACCGCAUGAUACUAUUGAGUGGCAUCACUUGAUAGUCAAAGCUUUAUGUGCUGAAAGAUGGCUUCGCGUCUGAUUAGCUAGUUGGUGGGGUAACGGCCCACCAAGGCGACGAUCAGUAGCCGGUCUGAGAGGAUGAACGGCCACAUUGGGACUGAGAUACGGCCCAGACUCCUACGGGAGGCAGCAGUUGGGAAUAUUGGACAAUGGAGGAAACUCUGAUCCAGUGACGCCGCGUGAAGGAAGAAGGUCUUCGGAUUGUAAACUUAUUUUAUCAGGGAAGAAGAAAGUGACAGUACCUGAAGAAAAAGGACCGGCAAACUACGUG